AUGUGGGUAACUCAGUAGUAAAGUGCAAGACUUAAAUUCCUGAACCCCUAGGUUGGAAACCCAGCACCACAUA
rnacentral:tRNA from 1 species